rnacentral:rRNA from 1 species
UAUUAAGCACUCCGCCUGGGGAGUACGGCCGCAAGGGUGAAACUCAAAGGAAUUGACGGGGGCCCGCACAAGCGGUGGAGCAUGUGGUUUAAAUUUGAUGCAACGCGAAGAACCUUUACCUACUCUUGACAUCCGGAGAACUUAGCAGAGAUGCUUUGGUGCCUUCGGGAACUCUGAGACAGGUGCUGCAUGGCUGUCGUCAGCUCGUGUUGUGAAAUGUUGGGUUAAGUCCCGCAACGAGCGCAACCCUUAUCCUUUGUUGCCAGCGGUCCGGCCGGGAACUCAAAGGAGACUGCCAGUGAUAAACUGGAGGAAGGUGGGGAUGACGUCAAGUCAUCAUGGCCCUUACGAGUAGGGCUACACACGUGCUACAAUGGCGCAUACAAAGAGAAGCGACCUCGCGAGAGCAAGCGGACCUCAUAAAGUGCGUCGUAGUCCGGAUUGGAGUCUGCAACUCGACUCCAUGAAGUCGGAAUCGCUAGUAAUCGUAGAUCAGAAUGCUACGGUGAAUACGUUCCCGGGCCUUGUACACACCGCCCGUCACACCAUGGGAGUGGGUUGCAAAAGAAGUAGGUAGCUUAACCUUCGGGAGGGCGCUUACCACUUUGUGAUUCAUGACUGGGGUGAAGUCGUAACAAGGUAACCGUAGGGGAACCUGCGGUUGGAACACCUCCUUUCU